ensembl:lncRNA
UGGCCAUUUAACCCAUCCAGACUUCCUACAGGCACAGAGCAGCCUAGAAGCAGAACAUGCUGUGCUGACCUCUCCAGGUGGCCAGAGGGCAGUGGGUUUGCAUCACCACAUUUGCCUAACAAUUGACAUUCUACUUGGCACUGUUCGCUUGCUGACUGAGAACCAACAAAGCCAGAUAUCCUAGCACUGCAAGCAGCACACCAGCCUCCUGAAGGAAGCCAGGGCAGUAAGGCUACAAAUAGCUGCCCAUGAAAACACUGGGGUGAAACUGCCAGGGAGAAGAAAACAACUACCCAGAAGCACCCCAAGGACCACUGGGGACGGAAACAGGGAGAGCAAGCUGAGUGGCCAAGACAUUCAUAUGAAGACUGUGACCUAUGGCCCAGCUAAUAAGAGGACCUCUACCCGCCUCAUUGUGAUGUCCAUGACCCUUCUAUUCUAAGAGGAGAGGACCUCUUGAGAGAGAAGAUUCUGGAAUAACUACAGAUAGAAUGGCAACAUUUAACGAGGAUUGUUGAUGCCAAUCAGCAAAAAUCAGGAAGUUGGGAGGAGGAGGAGGGUAAAGGAGAAGGUUGAGUCCAAUCUGGCUCACAGGUAGACAAACUUAGCACACCACUGGAAAGGUAAAACGGAAGCUCCAGAGAAAGAUAUCUGGAGACACGGCCAUUAGAGUCACCUACAGAGAAAUGACAGCUACAACAACAGGACUGAGAAGGGACGCUUUUGUUCUGAAGGGCAAAACCAUGUCAGAACAGCCUGAGCUGUUCCAAGGGAAGAAGUCUGAGCCACCUCUUCCCCUCUGAUCAGAUGGGCAGGAUUCACAGGGGCUGACCAAGGCCAAGGUAAACAUUCCAGAAAGAUCCCAGGGCCAGCACCGUGCAGGAUAAUGGAGCAAUGAUCUAAU